AGCGAAAGUACGAGCUCGGCCGGCAGCCGGCGAUGACGAAGUUGUCGAACAACAAGACGGUAAGGAGGGUUCGUGUGCGCGGCGGCAACGUCAAGUGGCGUGCACUUCGCCUCGACACGGGCAACUUCUCGUGGGGGAGCGAGGCUGUGACUCGCAAGACUCGCAUCCUUGAUGUGCAGUACAACGCGUCGAACAAUGAACUUGUUCGCACCAAGACGCUUGUGAAGGGUGCUAUUGUGCAGGUUGAUGCCGCACCGUUCAAGCAGUGGUAUCUCCAGCAUUAUGGUGUGGAGAUUGGGAGGAAGAAGAAGGCUGCUACAUCCAAGAAGGAGAAGGAGGCAACUGAGGGGCAGGAGGGUGAAGCUGCAGCUGAGGUGGAAGCUAAAAAGAGUAAUCAUGUUGUUAGGAAGCUGGAGAAGAGACAGAAGGAUCGUGUGCUUGAUAGCCACAUCGAGGAUCAGUUUGGUGGAGGGAGGCUCUUUGCUGCCAUAUCUUCCCGCCCUGGCCAAUGUGGAAGAGCUGAUGGAUACAUAUUAGAAGGAAAGGAGUUGGAGUUCUAUAAGAAGAAGAUUGAGAAGAAGAAGGGCAAGAGUGGCCCAGGAGUUGCUGCUUGAGCGGUUAACUUCACUGGUUAUGUAGUAUAAAGUUCAUCUUAUGUGCACCUUUUCUUUUAGAAGCUGGAUCAUAAACAUCUUGUUAUGCCCUGUUUGAAAUUUCUUUUAGUGUAACUCUUAUAUGCGGUAGUUUUAAUUGGAUAU
rnacentral:misc_RNA from 1 species